ACUACCCAGAUCAACACUAACCACACCCAAAUAAACACAUACAACAUUCUACCCUAAACUACCCCAUAUAACCACUAACCUACCCUCAUAUCAUAACACUAAUACAGACAUGUCUACCAUAACCCUACCCUCUCUCAUAAACCACAACCACCCUCAUAUCAUAACACACCUACCUCACUAUAUACACAACCUACCUCAUAUCCUAAACUACUACAUACAACACUACCUACCCUCAUCUAUAACACUAACCUACCCUCCUCAUAAUAAACUAACCUACCCUCAUAUCAUAAACACUAACCUACCCUCAUAUCAUCACACUACAUACAGACAUGUCUACCACUACCUACCCCUCAUAUAUACACUAACCUACCCUCAUAUCAUACACUACAUACAGACAUGUCUAACACUAACCUACCCUCAUAUCAUAACACUACAUACAGACAUGUCUACCCUAACCUACCCCUCCAUAUCAUACCACUAACCUACCCUCAUAUCUAACACUAACCUACCCUCAUAUUCAUAACACUAACCUACCUCAUAUCUAACACUUAACAUCCAGCACAUACAGACACUAACCUACCCUCAUAUCAUAACACUAACCUACCCUCAUAUCAUAAACACUUAACCUACCCUCAUAUCAUAACACUACAUACAACGAUGUCUACCACUAACCAAAGUGAGACUUGGGCAUCUGAAUAUGUAUAAGUUAAUUUACCAGAUCCGUUGGUGAUGUGUGAUGUGAUAGUGAGUGAAGGUGGUUGUGGGUGGGUCUGGUGGUGCUGUUGUUGUUGUUGUUGUGGUGUUAGUUGGUUUCACUGAAAACAUGGACAUGAGUAUGAACAUGUUUUAAGAAGGUGAGGAGGGAGGAUGGAGGGAGGGUCACAGGGACAUUUAGGGUGUUUUCUCUUGUUCCUGUUGGGUGGUGUUUA
rnacentral:lncRNA from 1 species